rnacentral:rRNA from 1 species
ANACGCCCUACGGGGGAAAAAUUUAUUGCUAUUAGAUGAGCCUAUAUUAGAUUAGUUAGUUGGUGAGGUAAAGGCUUACCAAGACAAUGAUCUAUAGCUGAUCUGAGAGGAUGAUCAGCCACACUGGAACUGAGAUACGGUCCAGACUCCUACGGGAGGCAGCAGUGGGGAAUAUUGGACAAUGGGCGAAAGCCUGAUCCAGCCAUGCCGCAUGAGUGAAGAAGGCCUUCGGGUUGUAAAGCUCUUUUAGUGAGGAAGAUAAUGACGGUACUCACAGAAGAAGUCCUGGCUAACUCCGUGCCAGCAGCCGCGGUAAUACGGAGAGGGCUAGCGUUAUUCGGAAUCAUUGGGCGUAAAGGGCGCGUAGGCGGGUUAGUAAGUUAAAAGUGAAAUCCCAAGGCUCAACCUUGGAACUGCUUUUAAAACUGCUAGUCUAGAGAUUGAAAGAGGAUAGAGGAAUUCCUAGUGUAGAGAUGAAAUUCGUAAAUAUUAGGAGGAACACCAGUGGCGAAGGCGUCUAUCUGGUUCAAAUCUGACGCUGAGGCGCGAAGGCGUGGGGAGCAAACAGGAUUAGAUACCCUGGUAGUCCACGCUGUAAACGAUGAAUGUUAAAUAUGGGAAGUUUACUUUCUGUAUUAUAGCUAACGCGUUAAACAUUCCGCCUGGGGACUACGGUCGCAAGAUUAAAACUCAAANGAAUUGACNGGG